GUAUCUGAAGCCUGACGAGGAUGAGAACCUCCGGGGGCAAGAGGUUCGACCCGAGCGAAGCGAGAAAACGUUGCGUCAGCAACGGCCCGCAGGGCGAGCCAUCCUCUAUCACCGGCAG
rnacentral:sRNA from 1 species